UACAGAGGGUGCAAGCGUUGUUCGGAAUUACUGGGCGUAAAGCGCGCGCAGGCGGAUCCUGCAAGUCGGAAGUGAAAUUUCACCGCUCAACGGUGAAGCUGCUUCGGAUACUGUGGAUCUGGAGACCGGUAGAGGUUGGUGGAAUUGCAGGUGUAGCGGUGGAAUGCGUAGAGAUCUGCAAGAACACCCGUGGCGAAGGCGGCCAACU
rnacentral:rRNA from 1 species